CUUCAAUUGUUUAUGAUUCUCAUCAUAUUAAAAGGUAGGAAAUUCAAAAUUGUUUUGAAUUCAUAACUAACUUGAUGGUUGGUGUCUUUGCAGGUAUAACACAUUUGUUUUACUCAUACUGGACUUAUUCCAUAUUGAGUUUUGUUCCUUAUUUUUUAUUUUGUUCCUUUUUUAGUUUGUAAAUGUUAUUGUUUUCCCUUUUUAUCCUCUCAUUUUGUCCUUUCUUAAGGUAAUUUUCAGAGAUUGUUUUAUACUAUAGCAGAUUUUUGUUUAUACUAUUUAUUUGUAGAAAUUGGUUUAUACUAUAGCAGGUUUUGAAGACUAUAACAGAUAAAGUGGGCACUGAUGGUUUCUUUCAUAAUUGAAUGGGCAAUUAUCACAUCAAUGAAUUCACGGGGCUGUGCAACUACACUUUAAGGAAUGAAAUAGGAGUGACAAUUUUGGUUGCUAGAGGUGAACCUAUAUCAUGUUGAAUAAAUAUCAUAUUGUAUAAUUUUCCUUAUGUUACCUCUUUGGUUCUUAUGCAACACUUAGAUCACUUAGAUGCAUGUAGAUCUUUUUAAUUUUGUUGUCCUUGGUGACAUAAUUUUUCUG
rnacentral:lncRNA from 1 species